rnacentral:rRNA from 1 species
GGAUGAGCCUAUGCCUGAUUAGCUUGUUGGUGGGGUAACGGCCUACCAAGGCGACGAUCAGUAGCUGGUCUGAGAGGACGAUCAGCCACACGUGGGACUGAGACACCGGCCCAG